CGACUGCCCGCGGAGGGCAAAGCCAGGGAAACUCUGAUGCAGGCCAUUAGUGGUACUGACGUGCAAAUCGUUCGUCAUCCGUGAGUCUUGGGGCGAGAGACUAA
rnacentral:ncRNA from 1 species